rnacentral:lncRNA from 1 species
CCUUGUUUUUAAGUUUCUUUCUAAUGGUUUGGUAAAUGAAAAUAACAGUACAACCAAAUGCUAUAGGGACAGAAGGGAGCAGGAAUCUUAGAAAGUGCAUCGUAUUUGAGUGAGGUUUCUCCAUACAUGGAGAGAAUCGUAAACGGGGUAUGCCACAAAGCCCAAUAUUCCCAACCAAAGAUUGCAACGAGAUGUUAGAGAAAAUACCACCCUGUGGUACCUUGCCUUGUAGAUUAUUAAAGGAGAGAUUCAAGGUUUUCAAGAAGGUUAAAUUGGCUAGGAACAUGGGAAUAUUACCGGAGAGAUUAUUGGAGGAGAGGUCCAAUGACUCGAGGCUCCUCAGCUCUUUAAAUGACACGGGAAUAGAGUCCUCAAAUGAAUUGUGUGAUAGAUUUAGAUAGGUGAGCAUGCUUAGUUUCCCAAAUGAUUUGGGGAUGCUUCCAAGCAAAAAGUUGGAGGAAAGGUCAAUUGUAUCCACUUGUUUCAACCCACCAACGUCACUUGGUAGUGGACCAGAAAAGGAAUUGAUAGAAAGAUCUAGGGUUAUAAUUUUGUCAAGGUGGAACAAACAUGCCGGUAUAGUUGAAUUGAAUUGGUUCUCGAACAAGUAGAUGUAUUCUAGCAUGGUAAGAUUUCCGAUGCUAUCAGGUAUACAGCCAUGAAAUCUAUUUCCAUCGAUAAUAAGCUUUUGUAACUUGCUGAGCAUACCAAUUUGUGCCGGGAUAGUCCCUAGCAUGUCAUUAUGAGAGACGUCAAGCCAAACGAGAUUUUGCAUCCUCGUGAUAGAUUCUGGGAUCUCUCCUGUGAGCUGGUUGUUGGCAAGAUAAAUCCACUCAAGACUGCUCAAGUUUGACAGUGAGGAUGGAAGCCCACCUGUUAGCUUGUUGUCACCAAGUCCAAACUCAAAUAAUUGUGCAGACAGAUUCCCCAUAGUAUCAGGGAUUCGUCCGGUGAAAGAAUUAUCAUAUAGGUCAAGGUUUUGGAGUCGCAUACAGUUGGAAAGAGAUGACAAGAAGUUAAGAUUCCCACUCAAAUUAUUAUGUUGCAGUUGUAGCCAGAUUAGAGUUUGGAUGCUCCCAAAUAUUGCUGGUACAGGUCCAGACAAUGAAUUAUUAAACAAUACUAGGUGAGACAGUUUUGAUAAAUUUCCAAGAGAAGGUGGAAUUGGACCUGUUAGCAAAUUCACUCCGAGAUGCAAAUACGAGAGUUCUUGCAUGAGGCCUAAUUCUUCUUGAAUCUCUCCAGUCAGGUUGUUGAAAUCAAGGCCAAGUAUAUUGAGAUGGGUGAGAUUGCUAAAAACAGCUGGGACAGAGCCAUGUAAGGAAUUAGCACCCAAGGAUAGACGGUAAGUUGUUGCAAUUGAGCCAACCAGGUUGGCACAACAUCGACAAAAAAAUUGUAUGACAAGGAGAUCACUUGCAGGUGUUGGCACGAUGCAAGACCAGAUGGAAUUCGACCAACAAAGUUAUUCGUACUAAGGGUAAUCCAUUGUAGCAUCGGAAGACUGAAACUUUGAUUAUUGUUCGGAAUCGGCCCAGUUAAACUGUUUGAUUCGAAUCCAAUUACUUGCAGCCUAGACAUGUUAUAAAUGGUUGGGGGUACUGUGCCAGUGAGCUGAUUGCAUCCCAGGGACAAGUACUCAAGCAUGGGUAGUGAGCCUAUUCUAUGGGGUAUUGGACCUGAUAGGCUAUUCUUUCCGAGGUCGAUUUGCUUGAGGGAAGGUGUGUUAUUGAACAGAUACAGUGGUAUGUUGCCACUCAAGUCAUUCCAUGCUAGAUAAAACCACUCAAGAUUUCUCAUGCUCUGCGGUAACCGUUGUGGAAUCUCUCCAGUCAGGUUGUUGAAAGAAAGGUCAAGUACAGUAAGACGGGUGAGAUUGCUAAGAACAGCUGGGACAGAGCCAUGUAAGGCAUUAGCACGCAAGUUUAGAUAGGUAAGCAUGGGCAGUGAGCCCAUUCCUUGGGGUAUUGGACCUGAUAGGCUAUUGUUUGAGAGGUUGAUGUGGUUGAGGGAAGGUGUGUUAUUGAACAGAUACAAUGGUAUGUUGCCACUCAACUCAUUCCAUGCUAGAGUAAACCACUGAAGGUUUCUCAUGCUUUGCAGUAACCGUGGUGGAAUCUGCCCCGAGAGGGUGUUGUUACUUAGGCGAAGAAACUCGAGGCUUUUGAGGUUUCCUAUGGUACUAGGAAUGGCGCCUGAGAGGUCAUUUCCAUACAGAUCUAGGACCCUAAGCCGACGUAGCCUUCCAAUUUCAGCAGGGAUGAGUCCAGCGACACCAAUUCUUGUGAGGUUGAGCAUGCUGAGGAAGGAAAGAUUACCGAGAUGUUGGCUGAGCGCUCCAUGGAGGGGCACAUCCACCAACCGUAGAGCCGUGACACGCGGCCGGUGGUGGCUGCACGAGACCCCGACCCAUCGACAGAAGGACACGUUGGAUGUCCAGCUGCCGGCGAGGAUUCCGAGAGGAUCAGAGAGCAGCGAUUUGAAAGCCAACAGGGCAGUGAGGUCGGUGUAGCUACCGUUAACAUUGGUUACACUUGGGCUUGGAGAUGAAGAAAGGACAGCAGGCAAUAGGAUUGGUAGCAAGAUGGCCAAAAACACUAGAGGGACCGGGUAGCUUGCAAUGGCCAUUGUUGUGUAUUUUUGGGCUGAUAGGUCAUAGGUGGCAAUGUUAUAUACUUAUAUGUAUUUUUGGGUCAUAGGUCAUAGGUCACAUGUCAAAGUCUUGACUCGUGUUUCCUUUAUUUAUUUGUCACACGGUAUAUUUCUAUGGUGGCAAAAAAAAACAGUGUCACUAUUAUCUUGACUCAUGAAGUCAGCAAAGAUCUUUUAUAUUACUAUAAAGUAAUAAACAUUUAGAGACAUUUUGCUAAAUGUGAAUCCACGAUCUCGCCAUCUAGCGAUCGACAUUUCAUGAAUAUUGCUGCCUUUUAUAUUUACACACAUAUACAAUUCACUGAACGGAACGGAGAGUGUGUGCUGUCUCAUUGGACGUUGCCAGCUUGUGCGAAGACUAGAAUAUUGGCGGUCGUUGCACGGCAAAUUCCUGUCAGGUCAUUACGGGUUAGACAAGACGUGAAGACGAUGAUGGGUUGAAUAUUCUCUAGUACCUUUGCAGCCAUAGUCUCGUAUAGGCUACCGUCGAAUGCUACUUCCUGGUCAAUAACUCUACAGACGUAAAGACUGAUGUGGAUUAGUGUUGGUUCAUUUAUAUGGUGGCCUGUUCGGCAGUUGCAUAAAUGUAAUUUUUUUUCGUUUUGAAAUUUUCUCUUCAGGGUAGGAUAUAUCGAUCUCUCAGUGCAAAAUUGAAGGAUAUAUAUGCCUGUCUCGUAGGUGACACAGGUUAUGAACCACGACUAACAGGGUAUUUCCAAAGGACAGAAGCAGAGGAGCCCAUCCUGAUCAAUGUACAAAUUAAAUUAGUGACCACACUCAUGGAAAAAAGAACGCAUUUAUUCUAUUAUGAAAAGUUAACGAAACACUGUAAUUAUAAGCUUGGAUAUGCGUUGUUAAACUGAAAACAAAGUAUUUUAUUAGCUAAAAAAAUCAAUAAACUGGAUUAUUACAAAGUAACAUGCACUAGCAGUAGAUGAUGUUCCCAUUUUUCAGAUAGUCUUUUGCAUUUGUCUCUGAAGCGGUCAAUUCUGAUUAAGUUGCCAUAUUUUCUUUGUGGCCCCUUUAUCCACCAAAUAACUGCUAGGAAGUUGAGAUCCACAUGGAGGAAAUUUAGUCAUUUACAAGAUGCAACAAGUAGUUCAUACUAUACCCGCUGCUGCUGGUAACUAUCCAGCCAACAGCUUCGUAUCCAUCGUUAAUUCAAUAGCCACCAUUCACCACGAAAACAUCAUUUCAACAGAUCAUGAUAUACACUAUGAUUUCGCAAAGAAACAAAUUUGCGCAGCUGUGAAAGAAACAUGGGGACAUUCAUACCCUGUGUUAUGUGCAUACUAAUGAAUACAGUUGAUCGUAAACAAAUUGCUGGAUGCUAACUGCACCAUCAUGGCUACACAAUUACAAAUUCGAAAGUUAUUUCAGUUAGUGAGGCGGAAAUCACAAACUAUUUUUCAUUCGUUGGAUGCUAACUGCACCAUCAUGCAGAGUUUGGAGAGCAGAGUGGAAAGACAUAAUUAGUUUCUAAUAUAACAUGAAUGGAUCAGUUCGCAACGGAUCAAGUAUUUGUCCCAAUAAUAAAUCGGCAUUGCUUCUAGGUAAAAUAUCGAACACAUGGUGUCCUGUGCUGGCACAACAAUAGAGCUAUCUGAGGAACAGAUGCCUUUGUCAGUAGCAGAUCGAAUGAGAGGAACCCAGCAGGCAGCCUGAGAAGAAGACAAGCAGAAAUUGCCCCGGGCUCUAACCGUCUAUGGUCGACCGCAAAAUCCAUGUCGUGACCGCAAAAUCCACGGCAGUGGUCUUGUCCUCUGCUUUGUGAAUCUUCAAAUGCAUUAUUUGGAUUGCAGUAGCCACCCAUGAAGAUUAACCCGGGCUCGUUCAGUUGGAUUGCAGUAUUCAAAAAUCAUAUUAGGCACAGGCCAAAGGGACAAAAACAAGUAAUGAAAAAUAAUUGGAGAUGGAACAACGGACAGAACAGUUGAAUCACACGGUAGCACUCGUCGUGGUUGCUGAUAUUAUCGAUUCUGUAUAAUCCUUUUUUAUCUUCUUGAGUGCUACUGUGACAUCCCUCAUGACAUCCUCAGGCCAGGUGAGUCACUUGAGCAGAUCAACCCCAGCUCAAAUGUCGCCGUAAGAAAGUCAUUCAGAUUGCCGGCAAAGAAAGAAACACCUUGCAACAGCCGGUCAUCAAGAACAGAGGCAAGCUGAGCUGGAAAUGCUUGACGAACCCACCACCUAAUGCUCAAAUCUGCGACGAACAUGGGAUCUGUGGGUCUCUUUCCAGUGAAGACUUCAAGGAGCAUGAUUCCAUAACUGAAAACAUCGCUCUUGCGUGAUGCCUUCCCGUAAGAUCCAUACUCUGCUCAUGAGACCGGAAACAAAGAAUUCCAGCAAGACUGAAUCAGCACUGUUAGACAAAUAUAUACCAAACAAAAUUCAGAGUCACAGUACGGAGUAUGGACGUACCUGGUGCCAUGUACCCAAGUGUUCCAAGCAUGCUUGCAGUGAUCAUAGAGCAGUCAUCACCCAAUAGCAACUUUGCGAUUCCAAAGUCCGCUACAUGUGCUGUCAUGUCUUCAUCAAACAGCACGUUGCUAGGCUUCAAGUCACAGUGCAGGACUACCUCGUGAUGCUCAUGGUGCAGAUACUCCAUUGCCAUUGACACAUCUAGCAUGAUGUCCAGCCUCUUGAGGAACCCUAAGUGCUCUAUGCUGUCAGAUUGCAAGAGCAUCUCUAAGCUACCACGGGGCAUAUAUUGAAGCACCAAUGCCUUGAACUCCACAUUGGAGCAGACAUUCAAUAUCUUUAUCAAGUUCCUAUGCCGAGCCAUGCGAAGUGUGCUGCACUCAGCAUCAAAGCUUCUAAUGGCCUGCUCCUGCUGCAUGUCUAGAACUUUUACUGCCACCGUGAAACCGGUACUAAGUUGACCUUUAUAGACCUUUCCAAAGCUCCCAGUCCCCAACAGGUUGUCGUCACUAAAAUUACUGGUGGCAAGGACAAGCUCAUGGUAUGACAGGUGCCCAUGGUACAUAACAUUUCUAGGAUCAAUGACAGAAUCUUCAACCUCUCCCUUAUUUUUAAUUUUCUUUCUAAUGGUUUGGUAGAUGAAAAUAAUAGUACACCCAAAUGCUAUGGUUACAGAAGGGAGCAGGAAUCUUAGAAAGGGCGUCGUAUUUGAGUGAGGUUUUUCCAUACAUGGAGAGAAUCCUAAACGAGGUAUGCCACAAAGCCCAACAUUCCCAACCAAAGAUUGCAACGAGAUGUUAGAGAAAACACCGCCCUCUGGUACCUUGCCUUGUAGAUUAUUAAAGGAGAGAUUUAAAGUUUUCAAGAAGGUUAAAUUGGCUAGGAACAUGGGAAUGGUACCUGAGAAAUUAUUGGAGGAGAGGUCCAACAACUCGAGGCUCCUCAGCUCUUUAAAUGACAGGGGGAUUGAGUCCUCAAAUGAAUUGUGCGAUAGGAUUAGAUAGCUGAGCAUGCUUAGUUUCUCAAAUGAUUUGGGGAUGCUUCCAAGCAAAAAGUUGAAAGAAAGGUCAAUUGUAACCACUUGUUUCAUCCCACCAACGUCACUUGGUAGUUUACCAGAAAAGGAAUUGAUAGAAAGAUCUAGCAAUAUAAUUUUGUCAAGGCGGAACAAACUUGCCGGUAUAGUUGAAUUGAAUUGGUUGUCAGACAACGAGACGUAUUCUAGCAUGGUAAGAUUUCCAAUGCUAUCAGGUAUAGUGCCAUGAAAUCUAUUUCCAUAGAGAUAAAGCAAUUGUAAGUUUCUGAGCAUACCAAUUUGUGCCGGGAUAGUCCCUAGCAUGUCAUUAUGAGAGACAUCAAGCCAAACGAGAUUUUGCAUCCUCGUGAUAGAUUCUGGGAUCUCUCCUGUGAGCUGGUUGUUGGCAAGAUAAAUAAUCUCAAGACUGCUCAAGUUCGACAGUGAGGAUGGAAGCCCACCUGUUAGCUUGUUGUCACCAAGUCUAAACUCAAAUAAUUGUGCAGACAGAUUCCCCACAGUGUCAGGGAUUCGUCCGGUGAAAGAAUUAUAAUCUAGUACAAGGUGUUGGAGUCGCACAGAGCUGGAAAGAGAUGACAGGAAGUUAAGAUUCCCACUCAAAUUAUUAGAUUGCAGCUUAAGCAAGUUCAAAGUUGGUAUGUUCCCAAGUGUUUGUGGUACGGAUCCUGACAAUAUAUUAUAACACAAUGCUAGGAAAGUCAGUUUUGAUAAAUUUCCAAGAGAAGGUGGAAUUGGACCUGUUAGCAAAUUCACUCCGAGAUGCAAAUACGAGAGUUCUUGCAUGAGGCCUAAUUCUUUUUGAAUCUCUCCUGUCAGGUUGUUGAAAGGAAGGUAAAGUAUAUUGAGAUGGGUGAGAUUGCUAAGAACAGCUGGGACAGAGCCAUGUAAGGAAUUAGCACCCAAGUUUAGAUAGGUAAGCAUGGGCAGUGAGCCUAUUCCUUGGGGUAUUGGACCUGAUAGGCUAUUGUUUGAGAGGUUGAUGUGGUUGAGGGAAGGUGUGUUAUUGAACAGAUACAAUGGUAUGUUGCCACUCAACUCAUUCCCUGCUAGAGUAAACCACUGAAGGUUUCUCAUGCUUUGCAGUAACCGUGGUGGAAUCUGCCCCGAGAGGGUGUUGUUACUUAGGCGAAGAAACUCGAGGCUUUUGAGGUUUCCUAUGGUACUAGGAAUGGCGCCUGAGAGGCCAUUUCCACGAAGAUCGAGGAAUCUAAGUCGAUGUAGCCUUCCAAUUUCAGGAGGGAUGAGUCCAGCGACACCAAUUCUUGUGAGGUUGAGCAUGGUGAGGAAGGAAAGAUUACCGAGGUGUUGGCUGAGCGGUCCAUGGAGGGGCACGUCCACCAAACGUAGAGCCGUGACGCGCGGCCGGUGGUGGCUGCACGAGACCCCGACCCAUCGACAGAAGGAUACGUUGGAUGUCCAGCUACCGGCGAGGAUUCCGAGAGGAUCAGAGAGCAGCGAUUUGAAAGCCAACAGGGCAGCGAGGUCAGUGUAGCUGCCGUUAACAUUGGUGACGCUUGGGCUUGGAGAUGAAGAAACGACAGCAGGCAAUAGGAUUGGUACCAAGAUGGCCAAAAACACUAGAGGGACCGGGUAGCUUGCAAUGGCCAUUGUUGUGUAUUUUUGGGCUGAUAGGUCAUAGGUGGCAAUGUUAUAUACUUAUAUGUAUUUUUGGGUCAUAGGUCAUAGGUCACAUGUCAAAGUCUUGACUCGUGUUUCGUCUUGACUCGUGUUUCCUUUAUUUAUUUGUCACACGGUAUAUUUCUAUGGUGGCAAAAAAAACAGUGUCACUAUUAUCUUGACUCGUGAAGUCAGCAAAGAUCUUUUAUAUUACUAUAAAGUAAUAAACAUUUAGAGAUAUUUUGCUAAAUGUGAAUCCACGAUCUCGCUAUCUAGCGAUCGACAUUUCAUGAAUAUUGCUGCCUUUUAUAUUUACACACAUACAAUUCACUGAACGGAGAGUGUGUGCUGUCUCAUUGGAUGUUGCCAGCUUGUGCGAAGACUAGAAUGUUGGCGGUCGUUGCACGGCAAAUUCCUGUCAGGUCAUUACGGGUUAGACAAGACGUGAAGACGAUGAUGGGUUGAAUAUUCUCUAGUACCUUUGCGGCCAUAGCCUCGUAUAGGCUACCGUCGAAUGCUACUUCCUGAUCAAUAACUCUACAGACGUAAAGACUGAUGUGGAUUAGUGUUGGUUCAUUUAUAUGGUAAUUUUUUUUCGUUUUGAAAUUUUCUCUUCAGGGUAGGAUAUAUCGAUCUCUCAGUGCAAAAUUGAAGGAUAUAUAUGCAUGUCUCGUAGGUGACACAGGUUAUGAACCACGACUAACAGGGUAUUUCCAAAGGACAGAAGCAGAGGAGCCCAUCCUGAUCAAUGUACAAAUUAAAUUAGUGACCAUGCUUCAUUACACUACACUCAUGGAAAAAAGAACGCAUUUAUUCUAUUAUGAAAAGUUAACGAAACACUGUAAUUAUAAGCUUGGAUAUGCGUUGUUAAACUGAAAACAAAGUAUUUUAUUAGCUAAAAAAAUCAAUAAACUGGAUUAUUACAAAGUAACAUGCACUAGCAGUAGAUGAUGUUCCCAUUUUUCAGAUAGUCUUUUGCAUUUGUCUCUGAAGCGGUCAAUUCUAAUGAAGUUGCCAUAUUUUCUUUGUGGCCCCUUUAUCCACCAAAUAACUGCUAGGAAGUUGAGAUCCACAUGGAGGAAAUUUAGUCAUUUACAAGAUGCAACAAGUAGUUCAUACUAUACCCGCUGCUGCUGGUAAGUAUCCAGCCAACAGCUUCGUAUCCAUCGUUAAUUCAAUAGCCACCAUUCACCACGAAAACAUCAUUUCAACAGAUUAUGAUAUACACUAUGAUUUCGCAAAGAAAUAAAUUUGCGCAGCUGUGAAAGAAACAUGGGGACAUUCAUACCCUGUGUUAUGUGCAUACUAAUGAAUACAGUUGAUCGUAAACAAAUUGCUGGAUGCUAACUGCACCAUCAUGGCUACACAAUUACAAAUUCGAAAGUUAUUUCAGUUAGUGAGGCGGAAAUCACAAACUAUUUUUCAUUCGUUGGAUGCUAACUGCACCAUCAUGCAGAGUUUGGAGAGCAGAGUGGAAAGACAUAAUUAGUUUCUAAUAUAACAUGAAUGGAUCAGUUCGCAACGGAUCAAGUAUUUGUCCCAAUAAUAAAUCGGCAUUCCUUCUAGGUAAAAUAUCGAACACAUGGUGUCCUGUGCUGGCACAACAAUAGAGCUAUCUGAGCAACAGAUGCCUUUGUCAGUAGCAGAUCGAAUGAGAGGAACCCAGCAGGCAGCCUGAGAAGAAGACGAGCAGAAAUUGCCCCGGGCUCUAACCGUCUAUGGUCGACCGCAAAAUCCAUGUCGUGACCGCAAAAUCCACGGCAGUGGUCUUGUCCUCUGCUUUGUGAAUCUUCAAAUGCAUUAUUUGGAUUGCAGUAGCCACCCAUGAAGAUUAACCCGGGCUCGUUCAGUUGGAUUGCAGUAUUUCAAAAAUCAUAUUAGGCACAGGCCAAAGGGACAAAACAAGUAAUGAAAAAUAAUUGGAGAUGGAACAACCGACAUAACAGUUGAAUCACAGGGUAGCACUCGUCGUGGUUGCUGAUAUUAUCGAUUCUGUAUAAUCCUUUUUUAUCUUCUUGAGUGCUACUGUGACAUCCCUCAUUGACAUCCUCUGGUCAGGUGAGUCACUUGAGCAGAUCAAACCCAGCUCAAAUGUCGCUGUAAGAAAGUCAUUCAGAUUGCCGGCUGAGGAAGAAACACCUUGCAACAGCCGGUCAUCAAGAACAGAGGCAAGCUGAGCUGGAAAUGCUUGACGAACCCACCACCUAAUGCUCAAAUCGGUGACGAACAUGGGAUCUGUGGGUCUCUUUCCAGUGAAGACUUCAAGGAGCAUGAUUCCAUAACUGAAAACAUCGCUCUUGCGUGAUGCCUUCCCGUAAGAUCCAUACUCUGCUCAUGAGAUCAAAAACAAAGAAUUCGAACAGGACUGAAUAAGCACUAUUAACCAAAUAUAUACCAACCAAAAUUCAAAGUCACAGAACGGAGUAUGGACGUACCUGGUGCCAUGUACCCAAGUGUUCCAAGCAUGCUUGCAGUGAUCAUAGAGCAGUCAUCACCCAAUAGCAACUUUGCGAUUCCAAAGUCCGCUACAUGUGCCGUCAUGUCUUCAUCAAACAGCACGUUGCUAGGCUUCAAGUCACAGUGCAGGACUACCUCGUGAUGCUCAUGGUGCAGAUACUCCAUUGCCAUCGUUACAUCUAGCAUGAUGUCCAGCCUCUUGAGGAACCCUAAGUGCUCUAUGUUGUCAAAGUGUAAGAACAUAUCUAAGCUUCCAGUGGGAAUAUACUGAAGCACCAAUAAUGCCCUGAACUCCAAGUUGGAGCAGAUAUUCAAUAUCUUUAUCAAGUUCCUAUGCCGAGCCAUGCGAAGUGUGCUGCACUCAGCAUCAAAGCUUCUAAUGGCCUGCUCUUGCUGCAUGUCUAGAACUUUUACUGCCACCGUGAAACCAGUGCUAAGUUGACCUUCAUAGACCUUUCCAAAGCUUCCAGUCCCCAACAAGUUGUCGUGGUAUGACAGGUGCCCAUGGUACAUAACAUUGCUAGGAUCAAUGCUAGAAUCUUCAACCUCGCCCUUGUUUUUGAGUUUCUUUCUAAUGGUUUGGUAAAUGAAAAUAAAAAUACAACCAAAGGCUAUGGUGACAGAAGGGAGCAGGAAUCUUAGGAAGUGUGUCGUAUUUAAGUGAGGUUUCUCCAUACAUGAAGAGAAUCCUAAACGGGGUAUGCCACAAAGCCCAAUAUUCCCAAUCAAACAUUGCAACGAGAUGUUAGAGAAAACACCGCCCUCUGGUACCUUUCCUUGUAGAUUAUUAAAGGAGAGAUUCAAGGUUUUCAAGAAGGUUAAAUUGGCUAGGAAUAUGGGAAUGGUAACUGAGAGAAUGUUGGAGGAGAGGUCCAACAACUCGAGGCUACUCAGCUCUUUAAAUGACAUGGGGAUAGAGUCCUCAAAUGAAUUGUGUGAUAGAU